AACCCUUGACAUGGGUAUCGCGGGAUCAGAGAUGGUCCUUUCAGUUCGGCUGGAUACCACACAGGUGCUGCAUGGCUGUCGUCAGCUCGUGUCGUGAGAUGUUCGGUUAAGUCCGGCAACGAGCGCAACCCAAACUCUUAGUUGCCAGCAUUCAGUUGGGCACUCUAGGAGAACUGCCGGUGAUAAGCCGGAGGAAGGUGUGGAUGACGUCAAGUCCUCAUGGCCCUUACGGGUUGGGCUACACACGUGCUACAAUGGUGGUGACAAUGGGCCAAUCCCAAAAAGCCAUCUCAGUUCGGAUUGGGGUCUGCAACUCGACCCCAUGAAGUCGGAAUCGCUAGUAAUCGCGUAACAGCAUGACGCGG
rnacentral:rRNA from 1 species